UACGAGGGGUCCCUAGCGUUGUUCGGAAUCAUUGGGCGUAAAGGGUGUGUAGGUGGCUAUGUAAGUCAGGUGUGAAAGCCCCGGGCUCAACCCGGGAAGUGCAUUUGAUACUGCGUAGCUUGAGUACCGAAGAGGAUAGUGGAAUUCCAGGUGUAGUGGUGAAAUACGUAGAUAUAGGAAGGAACACCAGUGGCGAAGGCGACCACCUGGACUGACACUGACACUGAGGUGCGAAAGCGUGGGGAGCAAACAGGAUUAGAAA
rnacentral:rRNA from 1 species